rnacentral:rRNA from 1 species
AUGGUUACUCCCACUCCAUACCAUCUCCUGUCUCCAAGAACCAUCGUCACCAAGAUCAUCAGCAUGAAGCAGCAGGAGCCGGAGCCGCCCAAGAUCAUCCUGCAGCCCCGGCACCGGACCAGCCCGGCGAUGUGGUGCGCCGCCAUCGUCUGCUUCGCCUUCAGCGUCCUCCUCAUCCUCGUCGGCCUGGUGAUCCUCAUCGUCUUCCUGACGGUGAAGCCAAGGACGCCGUCCUUCGACGUCGCCCACGCCGCCCUCAACAGCGUCUACAUCGGCUCGCCCCCGCCCUACUUCAACGGCGACAUGACGCUGACGGCCAACAUCUCCAACCCCAACCACAAGAUCGGCGUCGUGAUCCACUCUGGGGCCAUCGAGCUCUUCUUCCGGGGCAGGCUGGUGUCGGCGCAGGCGCUGCCGUCGUUUGCGCAGCGGCGGGGGCAGUUCACAGUCCUCAACGUCCACAUGCUGUCCAGUCAGGUGGUGCUACCGCCGGAGGUGGCCGUGGAGCUGCUGAACCAGAUGAAGAGCAACAAGAUCCUCUACACCAUCAGAGGGACCUUCAAGGUCCGGGAAAGGUUCUGGUCUUGGCACUACACCUACCGGAUGACUGCCAUUUGUGACCUGGAGCUCACCGCGCCUCCCUCUGGAUUUCUCGUAGAUAGGAGAUGCACAACAUCAACUUGA